GAGCGCCGGCUGCCCUGACGUCAGCAUGGCCGCGGCCCCUGACUACCCAGCUCCCUUCUAUCCCUCGAGCGGCAGGAAUCCGUCCCCACGCCCUUUUCCUUUAAAGGGCAACGGGCCGAAGGUGGGGCGGGCGGCGCGGCUCCCGCGAUCCAUUCAGGUCAAAAGGGAGAGUGAUCAAACAGGAGAGCCGAGGGGACCUAUAUUCAGAGACUUAACCGGACACCUGGACAGACCAUUACAACUUGGGACUUUUCAGGAGAAUGAGGGAAAUGUAGUUAUUGCACCUGAGCCUCACUCCAGCUCUGAGGUCCUCUUCACUUCUCUUUGGAAGAAAAUUGGAUAUCUUUUCCUAGUUGAAAGAGUAGAGAUCUGAUUUCUCCAAGGAUCAUCGCUUUUUGACACGGGAUUAUUAGAAGCAUUCAUUCAUCUAUCAAGGAGUUUUGGGAUACUUGCCAUAAGCCAAGCCCUCUGAUAGGUGCUGGAAACAUCAAGCUCUGUGCCCAGGAAGUUCAUCCUUGGACUGCACGCAUGAACGAGUUUGCUGUCUUCCCAUUGGAUUCAGCCAGUCCGCGGUCCUGGCACCUUCAAAAGAAUGUUUGGGAAGACAACUCAUUACUCCGAAAAUUGGUAAAUAAAAGGAAGAGCCAAGCAUUUAACUGGCUUUUGCUACAUGAACUGUGUCAAGGUAACCAGAGAAUUGGUGAGGCGAUGUUUCUCUUUACAGAAGCUGUCCAGCUAAUCAAUAAAAAAUAAAUGGUAGAACUAGAGAAUGGUUCUCAAAUACCAGCGUGCAUUAGAAUCACCCAGAAGGCUUGUUAAGAAAAGACGCAGGACCCCACCCUAGAGUUAUGGUUCAGUAAGUCUGGGGUGGGGCUGGAAAAUGUGCAUUUCUAAGAAGUUCACAGGUGAUGGUGAUAUUACCAGUCAGUGACCACCACCCUUUGAGAACUACUGGAUUAUAGCACCAUUGUUUUGCAAUCUUAACGAAAUAACCAAGUGAGGCGUGAUCAUCAGUGACUGCUAAUAUCACAAAAAAAGAAGCAACUAAACAGUAUGUUUCCUGAUGGAAAUACGCAAAACCACCUAUGAGGAAUUUUUGUCAGAAUAUUGAUCCUGAAUCAGUCAAACAGGAUCAACCUAUCAGCUGACAGGAAAUACAGGGAGCAGAGGAGCAAGGCAAACAAUGUCACCACAGAGAUGCCAACAGCAAAAUUCAGCCUGUGGGAAACUCUUCAAGGCAAACAACACAGUUAUUGUUUGGAAGCAAAGAAGAAGAAGGGAAAUGUAUGGAUUCUAAGAGACUUAAGAGUCACAAGAUUCCAGUUAUUAAACCUGUUUAGAUCCUGAUCUGAUCCAAGGAAUUGUGAAACAAGCAGAAUAAUUGGAAAGCUGGCCAGAUAUUUGAUGGUAUCAAGGAAUUACUGUCACCAUCCUCUUCUUCAUAUAGCUCAGUUCCUUCUCAACCUUUAGCUCUUAGUUUAUUUAUUUAUUUAUUUUUUAGUGUCUUUACUUUUAUUUUAUGUGUUUAUUUAUUUUGAGAUAGAGUCUUGCUCUGUUGCCCAGGCUGGAGUGCAAUGGCAUGAUCGGGGCUCACUGUAACCUCAACCUUUUGGGCUUAAGCAAUCCUACCUCCUCAGCCUCCCAAGUAGCUGGAACUGCAGGUGCACACACCACCACACCUGGCAAAUUUUUAGAUUUUUUAUAGAGACAGGUCUCACUAUAUGGCCCAGUCUCAUCUCAAACUCCUGGCCUCAAGUAAUACUCCCACCUUGGCAUCCCAAAGUGUUGGGAUUACUGGGGUGAGCCCCCAUGCCUGGCCAACUCUUAGUUUAAAGGUCACCUUUUCAAACAAGUUUUCUCUGAUCACCUUACCUAGAUAGCUCUCCUUCUCUAUUUUAGUUUCUUGUUUGCUUAUGGCAUAGAACUGAUCACUGGCUGUAAUUAUUUAUUCAUUUGUUUUUUGUGUGUCUCUCCUACUACGCUGUAAACUCCAUGAGGCCCCUGUAUCUUAGCUGUGUGCCUAGCCCCUUGCUAGAAACACAAUAAAUAAAUAAACAAACAAACACAAUAAUUAUUUUCUAAAUGAAUUAUCAAUAAAAUCUUAGAGCAUUUUAAUGUUUUCAAAUUAUUUUUCCAUACCUUUUUUUAAGUUUUAUUUUAGGUUUGGGGUACCUUUGCGGGCUUCUUUAUAUAGGUAAACCCAUGUCACAGGGGCUUGUUGUACAGAAUAUUUCAUCACCUAGGUACUAAGUCUAGUAUCCAAUAGUUAUUUUUUCUACUCCUCUUCCUCCUCCCACCAUCUACCCUCAAAUACGCCCCAGCGUCUGUUGUUCCUUCUUUGUGUCCAUGAGUUCUCAUUAUUUAGAUGCUGCCAAGGUUGUGGAGAAAAGGGAACACUUACACACUGUUGGUGAGAGUGUAAAUUAGUUCAACCAUUGUGGAAAGCAGUGUGACAAUUCCUCAAAGAGCUAAAAGCAGAACUGCUAUUUGAUCCAGCAAUUCCAUUACUGGGCAUAUACCUAAAGGAAUAUAAAUCUUUCUAUCAUAAAAACACAUGCAUGUGAAUGUUCAUUGCAGCACUAUCCACAAUAGCAAAGACAUGUGGUAUGGUUUGGCUCUGUGUCCGCACCCAAAUCUCAUCUCAAAUUGUAAUCUCCGUAAUCCCCACACGUCAAGGGAGGGAAAAUGUGGGAGAUGAUUGGAUCAUGGGGGUGGUUUCUUGAUGCUGUUCGCAUGAUAUUGAGUGAGUUCUCACAAGAUCUGAUGGUUUUAUAAGGCAGCUUUCCCUGCUCUUGCUCACUCUCUGUCGCCUGCUGCCACGUAAGAUGUGCCUGCUUCCCCUUUCACCAUUAUUGCACGUUUCCUGAGGCCUCCCCAGCCAUGAGGAACUGUGAGUCAAUUAAGCCUGUUUUCUUUAUAAAUUACCCAGUCUCAGGUAUGUCUUUAUAACAAGGUGAGAACAGAGUGAUACAACACGGAAACAAGUUAAAUGCCCAUCAAUUACAGAUUGGAUAAAGAAAAUGUGGUAUAUUUACACCGUAGAAUACUAUGCGGUCACAAAAAGGAAUGAGAUCAUGUUCUUUGCAGGAACAUGGAUGGAGCUAGAUACCAUUAUCCUUUGCAAACUAAUGAAGAAACAGAAAAUCAAACACCCCAUGUUCAUACUUGUUUUUGAUUAAGUUUCAUAUGAACUUAUCAGAGUCCUGUAAGGUAGGUAAUGAUCUUUUGACAUCUUUUUGAUGAAAUCAAAUGUGCUGAUUGACUUUUCCAAGAUUUAAAAUUUUGUAGAACCAGCACGGCCAGGACAAAAUCCAGUCUUUCUGAUUCCAAACCUGAUGACCUUUCUAUCCCAACAAGUUUUCAUUCAGAGGUGUCUGAUUAUUAAAAAUAGUCAUUUUAACAGUUAGACACACACUUGAUGGUCUUGGGGAAAGAGAGGGGAUGCUGUCUGACAUGUUCUUUCUCUGUGCUGAUAGAGACAGGCAGGGGUAGCAAACUUCAGAGAUGUGCACAUUUGAGUAAGUGAAGUAACAGUGGAUGUGGUAAGUGAGCAUCCUUGGAGUAGGUUGGUUUGCCCUGCCAGCGUGAAGAUAACCAUUUCAGUUUCCUAACCAUGUUACAGUGGAGUCACCAUCUCAUUUUCAGCAGGAUACUAACAUGUUCUGAAUCUCCAAUCUCCCUAUCAUCUCUAUUUCUACCUCCACCUCAGUCUUCACUACCAUCUCCAUCUUCAUCUCUAUCUCUGUCUCCAUCUCCACUUCUAUCUCCAUCUCCAUCUCUAUCUCUACCUCCACCUCCACCUCACCUCCAUCUCAAUCUCCAUCAGUAUUUCUAUCUUUAUCUCCAUCUCCAUCUCUAUCUCUACCUCCACCUCCACCUCACCUCCAUCUCAAUCUCCAUCAGUAUUUCUAUCUUCAUCUCCCUCUCCAUCUCUAUCUCUACCUCCACCUCCACCUCACCUCCAUCUCAAUCUCCAUCAGUAUUUCUAUCUUUAUCUCCAUCUCUAUCUCUAUUUCUAUCUACCUCCAUCUCUAAUUCUAUUUCCAUCUCCAUCUCUAUUUUUAUUUCUAUCUCUAUCUCUCUUCAUCUCCAUCUCUAUCACUAUUUCCAUCUCAAUCUCUAUCUAGCUCUAUCUCUAUCCCCAGCUCCUGCCAUCUAGUUUUCUGCUCCCCUUCAUAGCAACCCUUAUUAAAAGAAUUGCCCAUAGUGUUUCUUUCCACUUCUCAUCUCCUACAUUUUCCUCCAUUCACUUCAAUUUGGUUUCCCUUUCCUCCGUUCUGCUCAAACUCUGUUUGAUAAAGUGACCAACAAUUUCCAUACUGCCAGAUCCAAUGCUCUGUUCUCAUCUUACUGGACUUCGGAUGCAUUGGACACUGACCAAUCCUUUUGCAUUGAAUUGUUACUCUCUUGCUGUAUUAGUCAAGAUUAAUUAACUGUCAUAUGAAAUAAUAACAAAAUCUCAGUGGUUUAACAUGAUAAAAACGUAUUUCUUGCUCAUUAUACUGGCUAUCGUUAAACAAUAAAGGAGACAAGAACGGGGAUAAUUGUGGUGGAAGAUUUUUAUGGGGUGGGUUUGGAGUAAUAUGCAUCACUUCUAUCCAUAUUUUAUUUGCCAGAAAUCAGUCGUUUGGUCCUACCUGGAAACAAGGGGUGCUAAAAAAUAUAGUCCUGGAUGGCACCUGCUUCCCAGCAAUAACUCUACGCUAUGGAAAGUGAGUGUGAGUCUUUGGUGGCAACUAACCCAUCUUGGCCAUAGGUGAAAAGGCAGGCAGGCGCCAGGUCAUUAUGUAUGUCUCUAGGUCUGCGAGGCAGUGUUCAGUGCAGUCUCUUCAAGUCCUAUCUCUGUGUUGGGCGAUAGAAGUCACUUUCUCCAGAGUACUUUGCCUUUCCUCCACUGGAGGUCUUGGCUCUUUUUCAGGCCACCCCACAGGUAAAACUUUCAUAGGAGACUCCCUAUUACUUUUGCACCUAGAUCUUCUCUAGGAAAUGGACCAUUGAAUUCAAGCUUCCAUUUCACUAGCCCCUGGAACCUUAAUUGUCCUAAUACAGAGGAACUGAAUUUCUGCAUGGGAGGCACAUUUUCAUAGCUCCAUUUUUAAAGAACAGUAUCCUGUGCUCUUUGGACUCUGGUAUAUACCAUUUGGAUCAUUUGAAUCAUUGAAUCCAAUGAAAGGAACAUUAUUACCCAGCAUUGUACCACAAUUCUUUCUAUAUUACAGUUAGAAAUAUAUAUGCGUAUACACACACACACACACACACACAGAAACACACAUGUGUUACAACAUUUGUAGACGGUUACUAGCUUUAUUACGUACAGAUGCUUACAAAAGCCACAAGAGCUCUCAUCAUGCUUCUCUUUUAUCUCAAGGGAGAUUCAUUACAUGGCUGGUCUCUCCAUUGUCUCCCCAUUGCGUUACAGGAGGUAGCUCAGAGCCAAACACGUUCUAGCAUUUGCAUGAAAAGCGAGCACACUCAAGCCAGGCAAGUCAUUUGCAAAAAGAGCCCCUCGCCACCUCCCAGAUGGAGUUGCUGGAUGAAGGGCAUCAUAUUCUUCUUGACUAUGACCUUACUUAGACCUUGGAGAAAGUGUCCUUACAAACUGCCCAAGUCUUCUACUCUAGUGCAGACAUACUUUACUCUAAAAUAUUUAUUUGAUAGGGAAUGAUACCAGCAUAAGAUCUGUUAUCUAUUAAUGCCAACUAAAAUUCUUAGAGCACUCCACUCCUUCUCAGAAUUCUUGAGACUGUCACCCCAGAUCAUUCACAACGAUUGCACUGUAAUUCCUGAGAUAGUGAACGUUGCAAGGUUUAGGGUGCCUAAGGCUGCAGUAUGGCAAAUCCCAUCUCUGGCUACGUUCUCUUUGGUGCAGAAUAAUUCAAUUGAACAGAUUCAUUCAACACACAAUAUUCUAUGCCCAGUACUAGAAAACUAGGAAUAGGAGCAACACAUAAAAUAACAUAGUGGAUGCUAUGGUGCCUGUUCAAGACUAAAGGUCUUAACUCUAGCCACCUGUUGUGGGUGCUGCUGGCUGACAGCCUUCAACUGUCAGCCCUCAUUAGAAAUGGACUCAGCUAGUGAGAGCUGCCUCAUUUAAGGCCAUACCCCCUUCUCAUAGUGGCCCAUAUAUAAUGAUUGGUCUGAAGUGUUAUCCCUAAACGGCCAUCCCAGCUUCAGAGAUCUCCACAGGGUUGGCUUCAUUGAGACUGCACUGCAGCCCCACUGUUCCUUUUGCCCAGUUCUACUUCUUCCCUUCUCUUCCUCAGGUAGUGUUCUCAGAGUAUUCCUCAGUAACCUUCCUGCAAUCUAAUCUCUAUCUCUAUUAGCUGUUGAGGGACUCCUCUGAUUGAGGAGGUCACAAUCUAGCUAUAGAAAUAUAUGCAAUGUGUAAGUGACUAACAGCAAUUCUUCACAUAAGUGCUGUACUCCAAUUGGAACGGAAGCCAGUACUAUGAGAAGGAUGAAGGAGAAGCAACACACAACUGUUCUGCUCUGAUGCUGCUCUUCAAGACAAGAAGACAUGAGCUCUGUCCUAAAUGGGGCAAAGAUGUGAGAUAAUUACCAUUUUGCAAAGAUGGGAUGUAAAAGGAGGCCAAAGGGCCAUUGAUUCUUUCCUUACUUCUUUUUCAGACCUUCUUCCUCUUUACAGUUGUAUAAUGUCUUGAUUUUUAUUUCAAAUAGCAGGUAGGCUUUCAACGACUCCCAGGUAGACGUUAUAUAUUCUGCCAUGGAGCUAAAAGGACAAAUCUCAAGUAAUGGGUUUUGGAAGAUCAAUAACCAAGUUGUUCCCAGAGUUGCUGAAGCAAGUUUUACAUUUAUAAUGUAAAACACAAAAGGCUCAAAGAAAGAAGAGAGUCGCUCUAAAGAGAGCUAGAUUACAUCAUUAAAACUUUAAUUAACCUGGUGGCUUUGACUUCAGAAAAUCCAUGGAGACUUCUCCCUAGUAGGAAAGAAGAAAUUUAAUAUUUUAUGUGCAAAUGUUUUUGCCUUUUUUAUAUUUUAGUAUGCAGUGUCUUUAGUGGGUUCUUGUCAUGCUCGUUU
rnacentral:lncRNA from 1 species